AGCAAGUCGGAUAAAGCGCCAAGCGCUGCAAUCGCACUGCAGAGGUCAGGGGUUCGAUUCCCCUCAGCUCCACCA
rnacentral:tRNA from 1 species